UACGUAGGGAGCAAGCGUUGUCCGGAAUCAUUGGGCGUAAAGCGCGCGUAGGCGGCCCCGUGAGUCCGCUGUGAAAGUCAAAGGCUCAACCUUUGAAAGCCGGUGGAUACUGUGGGGCUAGAGUCCGGAAGAGGCGAGUGGAAUUCCUGGUGUAGCGGUGGAAUGCGCAGAUAUCAGGAGGAACACCGGUGGCGAAGGCGGGUCUCUGGGCCGUAACUGACGCUGAGGAGCGAAAGCAUGGGGAGCGAACAGG
rnacentral:rRNA from 1 species